rnacentral:rRNA from 1 species
GACGAACGCUGGCGGCGUGCCUAACACAUGCAAGUCGAACGGAAAGGCCCGGCUUUUGCGGGGUGCUCGAGUGGCGAACGGGUGAGUAACACGUGAGUAACCUGUCCUUGACUGUGGGAUAACUUCAGGAAACUGGGGCUAAUACCGGAUAGGAUCUCCUGCAGCACGGUGGGGGUUGGUAAGAUUCGGCUGUUGGGGCUGGUCUCGCGGCUUAUGGGCUGGAUGGUCGGGUAGUGGCUUACCAAGGUUUUGACGGGUAGCCGGCCUGAGAGGGUGGACGGCCCCCAUACUCCUACGAUACGCCGCAGACUCCUAUGGUACGCAGCGGUGGGGAGUAUUACACAGUGGGCCGGCGCCAGAUGCGGCGGCGCCGCGUGCGGGAUGACGUCCUUCGGGUUGUGAACCACUUUCGCCUGAGCCGAGGCGUUAGUGACGGUAACGGGUCAAAAAGCACCGGCUAACUACGUG